rnacentral:rRNA from 1 species
UAGGCGAAGGACAUGCGAAAGGUCCGGCGUAGAGGGUAAGACCCCCGUAGCUGAAAUCUGUACGGCUCGUUGGAGAGACACCCAAGUAGCACGGGGCCCGAGAAAUCCCGUGUGAAUCUGGCGGGACCACCCGCUAAGCCUAAAUAUUCCCUGGUGACCGAUAGCGGAUAGUACCGUGAGGGAAUGGUGAAAAGUACCCCGGGAGGGGAGUGAAAUAGUACCUGAAACCGUGUGCCUACAAGCCGUGGGAGCGUCGGACAUCAGCUUGCUGGUGUCUCGUGACUGCGUGCCUUUUGAAGAAUGAGCCUGCGAGUUUGCGGUGUGUUGCGAGGUUAACCCGGGUGGGGUAGCCGUAGCGAAAGCGAGUCCGAACAGGGCGGUGUAGUAGCGCGCUCAAGACCCGAAGCGGAGUGAUCUAGCCAUGGGCAGGUUGAAGCGGAGGUAAGACUUCGUGGAGGACCGAACCCACCAGGGUUGAAAACCUGGGGGAUGACCUGUGGUUAGGGGUGAAAGGCCAAUCAAACUCCGUGAUAGCUGGUUCUCCCCGAAAUGCAUUUAGGUGCAGCGUCGUGUGUUUCUUGCCGGAGGUAGAGCACUGGAUAGGCGAUGGGCCCUACCGGGUUACUGACCUUAGCCAAACUCCGAAUGCCGGUAAGUGAGAGCGCGGCAGUGAGACUGUGGGGGAUAAGCUCCAUGGUCGAGAGGGAAACAGCCCAGAGCAUCGACUAAGGCCCCUAAGCGUACGCUAAGUGGGAAAGGAUGUGGAGUCGCAGAGACAACCAGGAGGUUGGCUUAGAAGCAGCCACCCUUGAAAGAGUGCGUAAUAGCUCACUGGUCUAGUGAUUCCGCGCCGACAAUGUAGCGGGGCUCAAGCGUACCGCCGAAGUCGUGUCAUU